rnacentral:tRNA from 1 species
GGGGAUGUAGCUCAGUGGCACAGCGCCUGCCUGGCAAGCAUGAGGUCCUGAGUUCAAUCCCCAGUACCA